UUGUUGACUUAGUUGUAUAAUUGUAUAUUGAUUCUGUAUAUUUGAUGUAUAUAGAGUGUAUAUGAUGGGCUAUGAUGAUAUAUGUUCUGGGCUCAUGUGUUGGGCCACUGACACUCAUGAGCCUAAUGGGUCAUAUCUGAGCCCGGGUCAUUUGACCCAAUACCCGACCCGGUCCGGUUGUUAUUUUGUAAGUAUAUUUGUAAAGGUUAGGUAGGAAAGUUCGAGACAUCAGAUAUUUUCAUUCUUCAUUUCCCAAUACCGACUCUUCGGUUCUCUCAAUCUCUCCUCCUUCUCUCUACUUUCUCUCUCUAAAUUCUCCGUAAUUUACUCGGUUAAUCUGAAUAUUUACAUGGUAUCAGAGCCAUACAACGAUCCGAUCAUGUUCAUUUGCAUGUCGGUGUCUCUUUUGAACAUUUAUUUGACGGUUUUUGAGGUUUUAUCUAAGAUCGAAUGGUCGAUGAUGAUUAUUUCGACUUUGAAUGAUUUACUCGGUUAAUCUGAAUAUUUACAUGUUGACUUAGUUGUAUAAUUGUAUAUUGAUUCUGUAUAUUUGAUGUAUAUAGAGUGUGUAUGAUGGGCUAUGAUGAUAUAUGUUCUGGGCUCAUGUGUUGGGCCACUGACACUUAUGAGCCUAAUGGGUCAUAUCUGAGCCCGGGUCGUUUGACCCAAUACCCGACCCGGUCCGGUUGUUAUUUUGUAAGUAUAUUUAUAAAGGUUAGGUAGGAAGGUUCGAGACAUCAGAUAUUUUCAUUCUUCAUUUCCCAAUACCGACUCUUCGGUUCUCUCAAUCUCUCCUCCUUCUCUCUACUUUCUCUCUCUAAAUUCUCCGUAAUUUACUCGGUUAAUCUGAAUAUUUACAUGGUAUCAGAGCC
rnacentral:lncRNA from 1 species